UGGGGAAUAUUGCGCAAUGGGGGCAACCCUGACGCAGCCAUGCCGCGUGAAUGAAGAAGGCCUUCGGGUUGUAAAGUUCUUUCGGUGACGAGGAAGGCGUGAUGUUUAAUAGGCAUCACGAUUGACGUUAAUCACAGAAGAAGCACCGGCUAACUCCGUGCCAGCAGCCGCGGUAAUACGGAGGGUGCGAGCGUUAAUCGGAAUAACUGGGCGUAAAGGGCACGCAGGCGGACUUUUAAGUGAGGUGUGAAAUCCCCGGGCUUAACCUGGGAAUUGCAUUUCAGACUGGGGGUCUAGAGUACUUUAGGGAGGGGUAGAAUUCCACGUGUAGCGGUGAAAUGCGUAGAGAUGUGGAGGAAUACCGAAGGCGAAGGCAGCCCCUUGGGAAUGUACUGACGCUCAUGUGCGAAAGCGUGGGGAGCAAACAGGAUUAGAUACCCUGGUAGUCCACGCAGUAAACGAUGAAUACUAGAUUUUUGCGAUAUACUGUAAGAGUCUAAGCGAAAGCGAUAAGUAUUCCACCUGGGGAGUACGCCGGCAACGGUG
rnacentral:rRNA from 1 species